CGAUAUUUCUUUUUAAAGGGGCUACGUGAAGCCAUCAAAAAUACCGACUCUGCUAAAUUUGAUCACAGAUGUUCUAACAUUAUUGUAGCAAUUUAAGUAUGUAAUACUAUAGAUUAAAUAUGAUAAUACCACACGUAGUGCGAUUCGGCUCUAGUAUUUACCGUUCGCUAUAUUAAUGUUGUAGAUAAAGUACGACGAUGAUGAGGUUCACUAAAAAUAAAAUACUCUCUCGACAAAAAAAAUUAUU